CCAGCGCUCCACCUUGCGGUUUUAUUUCUCAAUCCGAUUGGUGGGACUCGAGGUGUUUCGUAGCGCAUCACCGCCUCUACGGAGACGUUUUGUUUGUUUCUGUCUUGUGUACUUGCACCUUCCAUUCCAGAGCGAAAUCAAACUCAGAUACCGCAGUCCCGUAACACACGCCAAGAACUCCGCAGCUGCGCGCUCUCUCACGUUACCACAGGCGCAUCGCAACUUCAAAACAAACCAAGAAAAGUCCACCGAAGCGGCCACCCUCUCCCUGAAAAACAAGCGGGGCGAUAUCUCGCUAUUCACCUCACAUACUCUUACAAGGCGCGGCAGAAGAGGUGAAGAUGACGUCUAACGGCCUGGCAUACGGUGUCGCUGUCUGCGCGUGGUUGGGGGGGGCCUUGCUCUUCAUGGCCCUCUGCUUCAUUUUUCCCUGCGUUUCGAAUUGCUGUUGCCCUACUCGGGUCUGCACCGAGAGCAGGAGUGUACAUCGCAAGGGCAACGUGACCGAGGUCUGACAAUGAGAUGGGGUGGCACCACGUUGGCAAACACAAUGUAGGACCCUUGCUAUACUCCCUGUGGGUUUUGAUGCGCCCAUGGCCCCUUGCAUGCCUAGAGAGAGAAGGAGAGAGUCCCCCCGUCGCAUCUGCAUUCCUUAUAUAUGUGUAAAUAUAUGCGCAUGCGCGCGUGCGUGGGUGCUGCCAUUAGCCUGGCAUGACCACGGCCCUUUCAUUGGCUUAUUUAUGGGCUCAUGAACGGGUGUGCAUGCGUUUUGUUUCGCUUUUUCUUUUCUUCGCGGGUUGGUUGAUGUGUAGGGUAAAGCAUGUAUGUUAUUUUUGCACGUAUUCCUCAAUCGCCUCUUUCUCUCGUCUCGCUCUCAUAUCUUUAUUUCUUUCCCUCACCCACUUUCUCAGCGUGGCGUGAGAGGUGCGACUCGUAGCGUGCGUGCGCGUAUAUGUGUGCUCGUGUGAAGCAAAGACGUAAUUCCAGCACCUUGCGCGCACUGCAUCCUCUCCUUCCACACAUAAUUGCGUGAGUGAAGACUUCUUUUUCUUACUUCCUCUUUCUGGCGGCGAGAGUGCUCUGUCGGACUAGAUGGCACACUACUUUUAUCAUGUCGCCAUUCCUCUUCGUGUUUUUCAGCGCCGACGCAUUCGCUUGCCGUACUUGUCGCCCAUGGCGGAACGCUUCUCGAUGUGUAUUUGUACUCACGCGCGCCUGCCAUGCUGCCGAGCGCGAGGCGACAGCUG
rnacentral:misc_RNA from 1 species